CACGUAGGGGGCAAGCGUUGUCCGGAUUUAUUGGGCGUAAAGAGCUCGUAGGCGGCUUAGUAAGUCGGGUGUGAAACCUCCAGGCUCAACCUGGAGACGCCACCCGAUACUGCUGUGGCUAGAGUCCGGUAGGGGAGCGUGGAAUUCCUGGUGUAGCGGUGAAAUGCGCAGAUAUCAGGAGGAACACCAGCGGCGAAGGCGGCGCUCUGGGCCGGUACUGACGCUGAGGCGCGAAAGCGUGGGGAGCAAACAGG
rnacentral:rRNA from 1 species